GAUGAAGAACGCAGUGAAAUGCGAUAAGUAAUGUGAAUUGCAGAAUUCAGUGAAUCAUCGAAUCUUUGAACGCACCUUGCGCCCCUUGGUUAUUCCAAAGGGCAUGCCUGUUUGAGUAUCAUGAACACCUCAACUCUUGUGGUUUCCCACAAUGAGCUUGGACUUGGGGGUUUUGCUGGCCUUCGGUCGGCUCCUCUCAAACGGAUCAGCUUUCCAGUGUUUGGUGGCGUCACGGGUGUGAUAACUAUCUACGCCUGUGGUUUUCUGCCAGAUAACCUUCAGCGAUGGAGGUUCGCUGGGGCUCAUAAAUGUCUCUCUUCAGUGGAGACAGCUUUUUGGACGUUUGAUCUCAAAUCAGGUAGGACUACCCGCUGAACUUAAGCAUAUCAAUAAGCGGAGGA
rnacentral:misc_RNA from 1 species